GAAACGCAGAAACACCAACCUCAUUAAAGAUGAAGCAUCAGCCAAGAUGUGCUAAGCAGAAGUUUCAGAAUAACACUUGGGAAAACUAGAAGAAAGAUAUGUUUACUGAUGCAGAAGAAAGUUUGAUUGCUGAAGAGGCACUGACCAAGAGGCCAGAAAGAUUUGCACUCGCUAUGCCAAAAAUGCAAGGAAGUAAAACAAGCCGAAGAUAAAAGGCAGAUCAAUGUCAAGAAGAUUGGGAGAGAUCAGCUGCUGUUUCAGAGUUCACCUGAGAACCAACCUCCUAGAUAUUCGAAUACAAGAAACCCCACAACCUGCUAUGAACCUUCGCAUUACAAGACCCUCACUUCAACUUUGAAUCAUCAGCUCCAUUCAAGAAACCACAGGCCUCUCACAUGGGAGACUAGAAAUUGUAAAUCAAAGACUGAAUUAACUGUAAUAUGUGAAAAUGCAUUCUAUUUAUCUGUAUCCAAUUCCUGCGCAUGCGUGCAUGUGCAUGUGUGCAUGCGUGAUAUUAUGUCAGUUUAGAGUAAGUGUGUGAGAAUAAACAACGUUACUUAAUUUAAACCCA